rnacentral:rRNA from 1 species
GACGAACGCUGGCGGCGUGCUUAACACAUGCAAGUCGAACGGAAAGGCCCUGCUUUUGUGGGGUGCUCGAGUGGCGAACGGGUGAGUAACACGUGAGUAACCUGCCCUUGACUUUGGGAUAACUUCAGGAAACUGGGGCUAAUACCGGAUAGGAGCUCCUGCUGCAUGGUGGGGGUUGGAAAGUUUCGGCGGUUGGGGAUGGACUCGCGGCUUAUCAGCUUGUUGGUGGGGUAGUGGCUUACCAAGGCUUUGACGGGUAGCCGGCCUGAGAGGGUGACCGGCCACAUUGGGACUGAGAUACGGCCCAGACUCCUACGGGAGGCAGCAGUGGGGAAUAUUGCACAAUGGGCGGAAGCCUGAUGCAGCAACGCCGCGUGCGGGAUGACGGCCUUCGGGUUGUAAACCGCUUUCGCCUGUGACGAAGCGUGAGUGACGGUAAUGGGUAAAGAAGCACCGGCUAACUACGUGCCAGCAGCCGCGGUGAUACGUAGGGUGCGAGCGUUGUCCGGAUUUAUUGGGCGUAAAGGGCUCGUAGGUGGUUGAUCGCGUCGGAAGUGUAAUCUUGGGGCUUAACCCUGAGCGUGCUUUCGAUACGGGUUGACUUGAGGAAGGUAGGGGAGAAUGGAAUUCCUGGUGGAGCGGUGGAAUGCGCAGAUAUCAGGAGGAACACCAGUGGCGAAGGCGGUUCUCUGGGCCUUUCCUGACGCUGAGGAGCGAAAGCGUGGGGAGCGAACAGGCUUAGAUACCCUGGUAGUCCACGCUGUAAACGGUGGGUACUAGGUGUGGGGUCCAUUCCACGGGUUCCGUGCCGUAGCUAACGCUUUAAGUACCCCGCCUGGGGAGUACGGCCGCAAGGCUAAAACUCAAAGGAAUUGACGGGGCCCCGCACAAGCGGCGGAGCAUGCGGAUUAAUUCGAUGCAACGCGUAGAACCUUACCUGGGUUUGACAUGGAUCGGGAGUGCUCAGAGAUGGGUGUGCCUCUUUUGGGGUCGGUUCACAGGUGGUGCAUGGCUGUCGUCAGCUCGUGUCGUGAGAUGUUGGGUUAAGUCCCGCAACGAGCGCAACCCUUGUUCACUGUUGCCAGCACGUUAUGGUGGGGACUCAGUGGAGACCGCCGGGGUCAACUCGGAGGAAGGUGGGGAUGACGUCAAGUCAUCAUGCCCCUUAUGUCCAGGGCUUCACGCAUGCUACAAUGGCUGGUACAGAGAGUGGCGAGCCUGUGAGGGUGAGCGAAUCCCGGAAAGCCGGUCUCAGUUCGGAUUGGGGUCUGCAACUCGACCUCAUGAAGUCGGAGUCGCUAGUAAUCGCAGAUCAGCAACGCUACGGUGAAUACGUUCCCGGG